rnacentral:rRNA from 1 species
UACGUAGGGUGCGAGCGUUAAUCGGAAUUACUGGGCGUAAAGCGUGCGUAGGCGGUUCGUUAAGUUCGUUGUGAAAGCCCCGGGCUCAACCUGGGAACUGCGCUUGAAACGGGAUUGCUGGAGAUCGGGAGAGGAGAGUGGAAUUCCCAGUGUAGAGGUGAAAUUCGUAGAUAUUGGGAAGAACACCGGUGGCGAAGGCGGCUCUCUGGGACGGUACUGACGCUGAGACGCGAAAGCGUGGGGAGCGAACAGG